UGAACGCUGGCGGCGUGGCUUAACACAUGCAAGUCGAACGGGGAACCAUUGUAGCAAUAUAGGUGGUUCUUAGUGGCGGACGGGUGAGUAACGCGUGAGGAACCUGCCUUGGAGAGGGGAAUAACACAUUGAAAGAUGUGCUAAUACCGCAUGAUAUAUCAAUUUCGCAUGGGAUUGAUAUCAAAGAUUAAUCGCUCUGAGAUGGCCUCGCGUCUGAUUAGCUAGUAGGUGGGGUAAUGGCCCACCUAGGCGACGAUCAGUAGCCGGACUGAGAGGUUGACCGGCCACAUUGGGACUGAGAUACGGCCCAGACUCCUACGGGAGGCAGCAGUGGGGAAUAUUGGGCAAUGGGCGCAAGCCUGACCCAGCAACGCCGCGUGAAGGAAGAAGGCCCUCGGGUUGUAAACUUCUUUUAAGAGGGACGAAAGAAAUGACGGUACCUCUUGAAUAAGCCACGGCUAACUACGUGCCAGCCGCCGC
rnacentral:rRNA from 1 species